ensembl:lncRNA
CUAGAGCGGUGUGGCAGGGGUGAAGAACAACGGGAUGCCAGACUCUCCUUCUACAUCAACAGCCUGCUACUUUUUCCAUGUGGACUAAAACCAUCUGUCAGAAAACUAGAGGAGGAAAUCUGUUUAUGUACAUAAACAAAGAUCUUCCUGGACCCCUGCCAUGUUUGCGUGAGUGAGAGUGAGUCACUGCGAGGGAUUGGACUGAGUGUGUUUUGAGUCACAGAUGGUACGAAGAGGAGUGUGAAUGUGUUACCCCUGCCCUGGACCUCUCCCUUGGAAUCCCUGGAGCCCUCAUCCCCUGAUCACUGUAUAUGUGUAUAUAAUUCACCUGAUAUUGUAAAUAAAUCUCCCUUUGAUUGCACAGCUCCGAGUCCUGCAUCUGAGUCCUGCCUUAAUCCAACGUGACAGAACAAUCUAGCCACGAUGGACUCAGCAGACGACUCAGUACGCCGGGCCGGGUGUCACGAGCAGAUGCUGCUCCACAUCAAUAAGGAACUAACUGCUCUCACACAAGCCCUAGCUCCGCGUACUCCACUGGUAAGCUCACCUCCAACCC